GAAGGCCUAGCUCAGUGGUAGAAUGCAUGCUUAGCAUGCAUGAGGUCAUAGGUUCAAUCCUUAGUAUCUUCA
rnacentral:tRNA from 1 species